rnacentral:rRNA from 1 species
CCUACGGGUGGCAGCAGUCGAGAAUCAUUCACAAUGGGGGAAACCCUGAUGGUGCGACGCCGCGUGGGGGAAUGAAGGUCUUCGGAUUGUAAACCCCUGUCAUGUGGGAGCAAAUUAAAAAGAUAGUACCACAAGAGGAAGAGACGGCUAACUCUGUGCCAGCAGCCGCGGUAAUACAGAGGUCUCAAUCGUUGUUCGGAAUCACUGGGCGUAAAGCGUGCGUAGGCUGUUUCGUAAGUCGUGUGUGAAAGGCGCGGGCUCAACCCGCGGACGGCACAUGAUACUGCGAGACUAGAGUACUGGAGAGGGAAGCGGAAUUCUCGGUGUAGCAGUGAAAUGCGUAGAUAGCGAGAGGAACACUCAUGGCGAAGGCGGGUUCCUGGACAUUAACUGACGCUGAGGCACGAAGGCCAGGGGAGCGAAAGGGAUUAGAUACCCCGGUAGUC